AGCGAACGCUGGCGGCAGGCCUAACACAUGCAAGUCGAACGAACUCUUCGGAGUUAGUGGCGGACGGGUGAGUAACACGUGGGAACGUGCCUUUUGGUUCGGAAUAACUCAGGGAAACUUGUGCUAAUACCGAAUGUGCCCUUCGGGGGAAAGAUUUAUCGCCAUUAGAGCGGCCCGCGUCUGAUUAGCUAGUUGGUGAGGUAACGGCUCACCAAGGCGACGAUCAGUAGCUGGUCUGAGAGGAUGACCAGCCACACUGGGACUGAGACACGGCCCAGACUCCUACGGGAGGCAGCAGUGGGGAAUCUUGCGCAAUGGGCGAAAGCCUGACGCAGCCAUGCCGCGUGAAUGAUGAAGGUCUUAGGAUUGUAAAAUUCUUUCAGCGGGGACGAUAAUGACGGUACCCGGAGAAGAAGCCCCGGCUAACUUCGUG
rnacentral:rRNA from 1 species